rnacentral:rRNA from 1 species
AGAGUUUGAUCAUGGCUCAGAGCGAACGUUAGCGGCGCGCCUAACACAUGCAAGUCGCACGAGAAACGGAGCAAUCCGCGGUACAGUGGCGCACGGGUGAGUAACACGUGGAUGACCUUCCCUGGAGUGGUGGAUAACCUGCCGAAAGGCGGGCUAAUACAGCAUAGGACCACGACGCUUUGGCGAUGUGGUGAAAGCGGGCCUCUAUAUAUAAGCUCGCGCUCCGGGCACGGGUCCGCGUCCCAUCAGCUAGUUGGUGAGGUAACGGCUCACCAAGGCAACGACGGGUAGCUGGUCUGAGGGGAUGGCCAGCCACACUGGAACUGAGACACGGUCCAGACUCCUACGGGAGGCAGCAGUGGGGAAUCUUGCGCAAUGGGCGAAAGCCUGACGCAGCGACGCCGCGUGGGCGAAGAAGGCCUUCGGGUUGUAAAGCCCUGUGGGGGAGAACGAACCGUACGGGGGCGAAUACCCUCCGUGCCUGACGGUACUCCUUUAGCAAGCAUCGGCUAACUCUGUGCCAGCAGCCGCGGUAAGACAGAGGAUGCAAACGUUGCUCGGAAUUACUGGGCGUAAAGCGCGUGUAGGCGGUCUGGUAAGUCGGACGUGAAAUCCCGGGGCUCAACCCCGGAAGUGCGCUCGAUACUGCCGGACUUGGGUUCUGAAGAGGAGAGCGGAAUUCCCGGUGUAGAGGUGAAAUUCGUAGAUAUCGGGAGGAACACCAGUGGCGAAGGCGGCUCUCUGGGCAGAUACCGACGCUGAGACGCGAAAGCGUGGGAAGCAAACAGGAUUAGAUACCCUGGUAGUCCACGCUGUAAACGAUGACAACUGGGUGUUGCGGGUAUUGACUCCCGCUGCGCCGAAGCUAACGCGUUAAGUUGUCCGCCUGGGAAGUACGGCCGCAAGGCUAAAACUCAAAGGAAUUGACGG